GGGCUUGUUGCGCAAUGGUAGCGCGUAUGACUCCAGAUCAAAAGGUUGCAUGUUCGAAUCAUGUCUGGCUCA
rnacentral:tRNA from 1 species